GCAAGUCGAGCGGACCGACGGGAGCUUGCUCCCUUAGGUCAGCGGCGGACGGGUGAGUAACACGUGGGUAACCUGCCUGUAAGACUGGGAUAACUCCGGGAAACCGGGGCUAAUACCGGAUGCUUGAUUGAACCGCAUGGUUCAAUCAUNAAAGGCGGCUUCGGCUGCCGUUUACAGAUGGACCCGCGGCGCAUUAGCUAGUUGGUGAGGUAACGGCUCACCAAGGCGACGAUGCGUAGCCGACCUGAGAGGGUGAUCGGCCACACUGGGACUGAGACACGGCCCAGACUCCUACGGGAGGCAGCAGUAGGGAAUCUUCCGCAAUGGACGAAAGUCUGACGGAGCAACGCCGCGUGAGUGAUGAAGGUUUUCGGAUCGUAAAGCUCUGUUGUUAGGGAAGAACAAGUACCGUUCGAAUAGGGCGGUACCUUGACGGUACCUAACCAGAAAGCCACGGCUAACUACGUGCCAGCAGCCGCGGUAAUACGUAGGUGGCAAGCGUUGUCCGGAAUUAUUGGGCGUAAAGCGCGCGCAGGCGGUUUCUUAAGUCUGAUGUGAAAGCCCCCGGCUCAACCGGGGAGGGUCAUUGGAAACUGGGGAACUUGAGUGCAGAAGAGGAGAGUGGAAUUCCACGUGUAGCGGUGAAAUGCGUAGAGAUGUGGAGGAACACCAGUGGCGAAGGCGACUCUCUGGUCUGUAACUGACGCUGAGGCGCGAAAGCGUGGGGAGCGAACAGGAUUAGAUACCCUGGUAGUCCACGCCGUAAACGAUGAGUGCUAAGUGUUAGAGGGUUUCCGCCCUUUAGUGCUGCAGCAAACGCAUUAAGCACUCCGCCUGGGGAGUACGGUCGCAAGACUGAAACUCAAAGGAAUUGACGGGGGCCCGCACAAGCGGUGGAGCAUGUGGUUUAAUUCGAAGCAACGCGAAGAACCUUACCAGGUCUUGACAUC
rnacentral:rRNA from 1 species